AAGUCGUAACAAGGUCUCCGUAGGUGAACCUGCGGAGGGAUCAUUAACUUGUGAUCAGAUGAAAUGUGACAGCAAUGUCAUGUUUCAUCUAUCAACCAAAACAAACAAACAAACCCCGUGCAUUUGAGUAUUCAUUUACUCAUUUCCAGCCCCGCAAUUGAACCGCGUAACGGAGCAUUGAUUUGCUGACCAGUGGCGUGUACACCGUUUGCAAUGGCUUGCUUCACCGCUUGCCUGGUGUUCCCCACCUCGUGUAGUAGAUUCGGACAACUUUACCAUUUCUUAACAAACAUAUUUCACCCAUUCGUACAACCAUUGACUGAAACGAAAGGUGUUUUUUAACCGAAACGCCUACAUUCGAGUUUAUUCGAAAUCUAAGCACAACUCUUAGCAACGGAUAUCUUGGUUCUC
rnacentral:misc_RNA from 1 species